GCCCGGUUAGCUCAGUUGGUUAGAGUACUUCCUUGACAUGGAAGAGAUCAGAAGUUCGAGUCUUCUACCGGGCA
rnacentral:tRNA from 1 species